AUGCGCUCCCCCCCCCCCCCCCGUUCCGUGUUUCUAUGGGGAGUCCCGAGCAGCUUCGGGUAUUUCCGGACUCACUUCGGCUCUUUCCGUAAAGGAGAGGGGCUCGAUGCGCUCCCCACCCCCCCCGUUCUGUGUCUCUAUGGGAGCUCCGAGCAGCUUCGGCUCUUUCCGGACUCACUUCGGCUCUUUCCGGAAAGGGGAGGGGCUCGAUGCGCUCCGCUCCGCCCCGGGUCUCCCCCGAGCAGCUUCGGCUCUUUCCGUAAAGGGGGGGAGGGGUUCGAUGCGCUCCGCCCCUUUCCCGUCUCUAUAGGGAGCCCCGAGCGGCUUCGGCUCCUUCCGGACUCACUUCGGCUCUUUCCGGAAGGUGGGGGGGGUUCAAUGCGCUCCGAGUCUCUAUGGGGAGCUCCGAGUGUCUUCGGCUGUUUCCGGACUCACUUCGGCUCUUUCCGGAAGAGGGGGGGGAGGUUCGAUGCGCUCCGCCCCGCCCCGGGUCCCCCCGAGCAGCUUCGGCUGUUUCCGGAACACUUCGGCUCUUUCCGGAAGGGGGAGGGGCUCGAUGCGCUCCGUGUCUCUUGGGAGCUCUGAGUGUCUUCGGCUCUUUCCGAAGUCACUUCGGCUCUUUCCGGAAAGGGGAGGGGCUCGAUGCGCUUCCCCCCCCCCCGUUCCGCGUCUCUAUAGGGAGCUCCGAGCAGCUUCGGCUCUUUCCGGACUCACUUCGGCUGUUUCCGUAAAGGGGAGGGGCUCGAUGCGCUCCGCCCCUCCCCGGGUCCCCCCGAGCAGCUUCGGCUCUUUCCGGACUCACUUCGGCUCUUUCCGUAAAUGGGGGGGGGGGGUUUGAUUCGCUCCCCCCCGUUCCGUGUCUCUAUGGGGAGCCCCGAGCGGCUUCGGCUCCUUCCGGAACACUUCGGCUGUUUCCGGAAAGGGGAGGGGCUCGAUGCGCUCCGCCCCUCUCCGGGUCCUCCCCCCGAGCAGCUUCGGCUCUUUCCGGAACGCUUCGGCUGUUUCCGGAGGGGGGGGGGGGGGCUCGAUGCACUUCCCCCGUUCCCUGUCUCUAUGGGGACCAGACCCUUACUGGGCCAUACUGGCCCCAUUCCUCC
rnacentral:lncRNA from 1 species